rnacentral:rRNA from 1 species
AUACGUAGGGAGCGAGCGUUGUCCGGAAUUACUGGGUGUAAAGGGAGCGUAGGCGGGAGUGCAAGUCAGAUGUGAAAUACAUGGGCUCAACCCAUGGGCUGCAUUUGAAACUGCAUUUCUUGAGUGAAGUAGAGGUAAGCAGAAUUCCUGGUGUAGCGGUGAAAUGCGUAGAUAUCAGGAGGAACACCGGUGGCUAAGGCGGCUUACUGGGCUUUUACUGACGCUGAGGCUCGAAAGCGUGAGGAGCAAACAGGAUUAGAUACCCUGGUAGUCCACGCUGUAAACGAUGAUUACUAGGUGUGGGGGGACUGACCCCUUCCGUGCCGCAGUUAACACAAUAAGUAAUCCACCUGGGGAGUACGGCCGCAAGGUUGAAACUCAAAUGAAUUGACGGGG